rnacentral:rRNA from 1 species
AGAGUUUGAUCCUGGCUCAGAUUGAACGCUGGCGGCGUGCUUAACACAUGCAAGUCGAACGAGAAAGGGACUUCGGUCCUGAGUAGAGUGGCGCACGGGUGAGUAACGCGUAGGUAAUCUACCUCUGCAUCUGGGAUAACACUUCGAAAGGGGUGCUAAUACCGGAUACACUUAUGGGUCGCAAGACCUAUAAGGAAAGGAGACCUCUCCUUGGAAGUUUCUGUGUAGAGAUGAGCCUGCGUCCCAUUAGCUAGUUGGUAGGGUAAUGGCCUACCAAGGCGAUGAUGCGUAGCCGACCUGAGAGGGUGACCGGCCACACUGGGACUGAGACACGGCCCAGACUCCUACGGGAGGCAGCAGUAGGGAAUUUUCGGCAAUGGGCGCAAGCCUGACCGAGCAACGCCGCGUGAGUGAUUAAGGCCUUCGGGUUGUAAAGCUCUGUUGUAAGGGAAGAAAAAUCAGUAGAGGAAAUGAUACUGAUCUGACGGUACCUUACCAGAAAGCCACGGCUAACUACGUGCCAGCAGCCGCGGUAAUACGUAGGUGGCAAGCGUUAUCCGGAAUUAUUGGGCGUAAAGGGUGCGUAGGCGGUUUAUUAAGUCUAUGGUGAAAGUGCGGGGCUCAACCCCGUAUGGCCAUAGAAACUGAUAGACUAGAGUGCAGGAGAGGGCAAUGGAAUUCCAUGUGUAGCGGUAAAAUGCGUAGAUAUAUGGAGGAACACCAGUGGCGAAGGCGGUUGCCUGGCCUGUAACUGACGCUGAAGCACGAAAGCGUGGGGAGCAAAUAGGAUUAGAUACCCUGGUAGUCC